rfam:Mycobacterium abscessus strain PAP053 genome assembly, contig: ERS075544SCcontig000018
GACAACUAAUGUUUUGAGAGAUGGAAUGAAAGCCUUCAAGUUGAGCUGAAACAUCUCCGCUAAUACUCCUACAUGCUCUAAUCAAUGAAGUAGAUUGGUUUUGGUAUGAAGCUAGGUGAAGUCGUCUGAAAUCUGCCUAAGUGUUUGAGCAUAAGGCUGACUAUAGGGCGGGCGGCUGAAAA